GACGGAGGGGGCAAGCGUUGUCCGGAAUUACUGGGCGUAAAGCGCUCGUAGGCGGUCGCGUACGGCGGCGGUGAAAGCUCCCGGCUCAACUGGGAGAUGCCCGUCGCAACGGCGUGACUCGAGGGUGGUAGAGGCAGAUGGAAUUCCUGGUGUAGCGGUGAAAUGCGUAGAGAUCAGGAGGAACACCCGUGGCGAAGGCGGUCUGCUGGGCCACACCUGACGCUGAGGAGCGAAAGCCAGGGGAGCGAACGGG
rnacentral:rRNA from 1 species